UACGUAGGGACCAAGCGUUGUUCGGAUUUACUGGGCGUAAAGGGCUCGUAGGCGGCCAACUAAGUCAGACGUGAAAUCCCUCGGCUUAACCGGGGAACUGCGUCUGAUACUGGAUGGCUUGAGGUUGGGAGAGGGAUGCGGAAUUCCAGGUGUAGCGGUGAAAUGCGUAGAUAUCUGGAGGAACACCGGUGGCGAAGGCGGCAUCCUGGACCAAUUCUGACGCUGAGUGAGCGAAAGCCAGGGGAGCAAACGGG
rnacentral:rRNA from 1 species